AGGACGAACGCUGGCGGCGUGCUUAACACAUGCAAGUCGAGCGGAAAGGCCCUUCGGGGUACUCGAGCGGCGAACGGGUGAGUAACACGUGAGUAAUCUGCCCCUAGCUCUGGGAUAGCUCCGGGAAACCGGGAUUAAUACCGGAUACGACCACCUUAGACAUCUUUUGUGGUGGAAAGAAUUUCGGCUAGGGAUGAGCUCGCGGCCUAUCAGCUUGUUGGUGGGGUAACGCCUACCAAGGCGACGACGGGUAGCCGGCCUGAGAGGGCGACCGGCCACGACUGGGACUGAGACACGGCCCAGACUCCUACGGGAGGCAGCAGUGGGGAAUAUUGCGCAAUGGGCGAAAGCCUGACGCAGCGACGCCGCGUGGGGGAUGAAGGCCUUCGGGUUGUAAACCCCUUUCAGCAGGGACGAAGCGAAAGUGACGGUACCUGCAGAAGAAGCGCCGGCUAACUACGUGCCAGCAGCCGC
rnacentral:rRNA from 1 species